CACAACCUCCCUUUAAUGAUCAUGCUGUUUAUUAAGAUACCGUUAUUAUUAUUACCUUUAUUAUGAUACAUUGUUUCUUUGCUUUCUUGUUCACCCACAACUAUCUGUCAUCUCAACCACUUUUUCAAAUUUUUGGGGUGCCAUAGAAUCAGAAUUGCUGUCUUUGCUUAACAAAAAAACAAGUUCUUGUUUCAGACUGGUUGUUAAAAAUCUUUACCAAAAUAGAAUAAAUAUCAAACCAUAAAAGUUAAUGUGUGGUCCAGGUGAGAGGCAUUGCCCACUCUGUAGAAACUAGGGAUGUCCAUGAGGCCAAACCUGAUUCUGCCUGCAACCUAAUCUCUUAGUCACAUGUAAACUCUGUAAAGCCACUGGGGUUUUUAGUGCUGUCAGUUGGUCCACAGUCCAGAUGUAGAAAUUGAAGCCAUAAAAACAAAUCCACUCCUGUCAUCACUUUACAAGCAAUUGUACAGUGCCCAUGGAAAUGAAAAUACUAUCUUAUAAACCAUAACACUGGAGAUUGUGUGUGAAAUAGUCCUGAUAAGAUGUGCUGAACCAUGACAGGGUAAAAUUAUGAUAGUGGCUUGUCCUUAUUUUUUUUCUUGCCCAUUCAGAGACACUGGGGGAACAGCUGUUUUCAGGAUGCACUGAGUGGUCACUUCUAAAAAUCAGGCCCUGAUAAAGAUUCUGCCCUUUUCCAGAUAGGGUCUAGAUCCCACCACAAAGGUCAUGAAUAUUCCUUACUUUGCUCUUCCAUCAAACUCCUUCUGCUUCUGAGGGUGAGGCCGCAGAAUGUAUCAGAAGAUAUAGCAUGGAGUAAACCCUGCAACACAGCAUCAUGCAGAAAGUUAUUUGCACCCAGAAAAGGCUCUCCAACAGACCAGAGUUCAACAGUUUUGGAAGAAAUCUUAAUUGAAUGUCCUGAUGGAAAAUACAGGUUUUCAUCCCCCCAGAUUAGAACUGUCAUUUCUUUUGUUGUCCUCUAUAAUUUCUGUUCUAUGACCUAUUCAUGACCAUUUUGUCCUCAGCACUGUUGUUUUCUACUUUAAAAUAAAUUCCAAC
rnacentral:lncRNA from 1 species